UUUUUAUUUUCUUCUUGAGGCCUAUUUACAAAUUCUUCGAUCCACGUAAUCAUUAUAGUUAGCUGACCAACAGCAUGGCAUGCAAACACUGUAGCAAAGCUGAAAGCGAUAAUAACGGUACCUGUUGUAAUAUAUCCUGCUAGAAAUUGAAAACCGAGGACGAUGUUAUGCCCUGGAUUAACAUCGACCGGAAUUUUAUAAGUUGGAAAGGUUCAUUGACGAUAGUUGUAUGUGUCGCACAAUGUGUAGUCGAUUGAUUGGUAGAAAUUAAAUUAGAUAUCUUGGAAUGAUAAAAUUUGUAAGACUUUUUAUAAUGUGAUUUUUGUAUGCAUAUAUGGCGAUCAAACACCUGCCAGUUGUGAAAUAAAUCACAAAUGCGAUUAAGUAUUGCAAUUGUAUGAAAAACAGAAUGGAUCGAGGAAUUCAUAGUAGAUCAGGAAAUUUUGAGAUUGUACAUUUUUGAAUUAUUUUCAGUAGCUGCAUAUAAUUUGCUAGAUUUGAAAAUGUCAUUGUCAGAAAUUAGUAAAUGAAGAUGAUUAAUUUUUUAAUAUACUUUAAUAUAUUUUCUAAGACUAUUUUUUUGGAAAAUAAAUGAUUGAUCUGCAAUAUAAUACUAGGAUUUUAUAAACAUUAUUCGAUUUCUUUACAAUUAAAUCGAUGUAAGUAUAUUACAUAAAUAUAAAAAAAUUUUUUAAGUUUUCUCUGUGCAAAUUUAAAUUAGAAUGUGCUAUAUAUAUGCUACUAUAACAAUAUUAUAAGAUUCUAAAUUAUAAUAAAGAGAAGUGAAU